CCACCCUUAGCUCAAUUGGUUAGAGCACAGAGCUUAUACCUCUGCGGUUCCUGGUUCGAGUCCAGGAGGGUGGA
rnacentral:tRNA from 1 species